rnacentral:lncRNA from 1 species
UUCACACUUAUCACCUAUUGAUGAGGUUCCCAAUGACCAGCAACAUAGGAAAAGUCCAAGAUGAUCAAGUGUUUAUCCGACAAUGCUCCAUCACUACCCUUAAAGGCAAAAAAAUUAGUGGAGAUGCAGCCUAUCAGCAGUUUUGAUGCUGGAGAUAAACAAAAGCAAUAGUGUAGAAAACCGACCAAAUAGCUUCUCUCGAUGCCCUUGCAUAAGUUGAACCCAAGCAGAAUGUUGCCGAUUAGAGCUCAACAGGAUGAGACUUCCCAAGCUAGACUCAAAUACUUAAUACGAGUGAAUAUUGAUGUCACCCAGAAGUAGCAACUC